UGCUAGAAGUGGGUUAGGUUAGGUUAGAACUGCGACCCCCAAGAAAACGAACUGUUGCCAGAAGUGGGUUAGGUUAGAACUGCGACCCCCCAAGAAAACGAACUGUUGCCAGAAGUGGGUUAGGUUAGAAUUGCGACCCCCAAGAAAACGAACUGUUGCCAGAAAAG